GCCUGGUUAGCUCUGUUGGUAAAGCCUGAGAUUCUUAAUCUCAGGGUUGUGGGUUCAAGGCCCAUGUUGGGCA
rnacentral:tRNA from 1 species